UAUCCUGUCUGAAUAUGGGGGGACCAUCCUCCAAGGCUAAAUACUCCUGACUGACCGAUAGUGAACCAGUACCGUGAGGGAAAGGCGAAAAGAACCCCGGCGAGGGGAGUGAAAAAGAACCUGAAACCGUGUACGUACAAGCAGUGGGAGCACAGAGCAAUCUGUGUGACUGCGUACCUUUUGUAUAAUGGGUCAGCGACUUAUAUUCUGUAGCAAGGUUAACCGAAUAGGGGAGCCGAAGGGAAACCGAGUCUUAACUGGGCGUUAAGUUGCAGGGUAUAGACCCGAAACCCGGUGAUCUAGCCAUGGGCAGGUUGAAGGUUGGGUAACACUAACUGGAGGACCGAACCGACUAAUGUUGAAAAAUUAGCGGAUGACUUGUGGCUGGGGGUGAAAGGCCAAUCAAACCGGGAGAUAGCUGGUUCUCCCCGAAAGCUAUUUAGGUAGCGCCUCGUGAAUUCAUCUCCGGGGGUAGAGCACUGUUUCGGCAAGGGGGUCAUCCCGACUUACCAACCCGAUGCAAACUGCGAAUACCGGAGAAUGUUAUCACGGGAGACACACGGCGGGUGCUAACGUCCGUCGUGAAGAGGGAAACAACCCAGACCGCCAGCUAAGGUCCCAAAGUCAUGGUUAAGUGGGAAACGAUGUGGGAAGGCCCAGACAGCCAGGAUGUUGGCUUAGAAGCAGCCAUCAUUUAAAGAAAGCGUAAUAGCUCACUGGUCGAGUCGGCCUGCGCGGAAGAUGUAACGGGGCUAAACCAUGCACCGAAGCUGCGGCAGCGACGCUGAUGCGUUGUUGGGUAGGGGAGCGUUCUGUAAGCCUGUGAAGGUGUGCUGUGAGGCAUGCUGGAGGUAUCAGAAGUGCGAAUGCUGACAUAAGUAACGAUAAAGCGGGUGAAAAGCCCGCUCGCCGGAAGACCAAGGGUUCCUGUCCAACGUUAAUCGGGGCAGGGUGAGUCGACCCCUAAGGCGAGGCCGAAAGGCGUAGUCGAUGGGAAACAGGUUAAUAUUCCUGUACUUGGUGUUACUGCGAAGGGGGGACGGAGAAGGCUAUGUUGGCCGGGCGACGGUUGUCCCGGUUUAAGCGUGUAGGCUGGUUUUCCAGGCAAAUCCGGAAAAUCAAGGCUGAGGCGUGAUGACGAGGCACUACGGUGCUGAAGCAACAAAUGCCCUGCUUCCAGGAAAAGCCUCUAAGCAUCAGGUAACAUCAAAUCGUACCCCAAACCGACACAGGUGGUCAGGUAGAGAAUACCAAGGCGCUUGAGAGAACUCGGGUGAAGGAACUAGGCAAAAUGGUGCCGUAACUUCGGGAGAAGGCACGCUGAUAUGUAGGUGAAGUCCCUCGCGGAUGGAGCUGAAAUCAGUCGAAGAUACCAGCUGGCUGCAACUGUUUAUUAAAAACACAGCACUGUGCAAACACGAAAGUGGACGUAUACGGUGUGACGCCUGCCCGGUGCCGGAAGGUUAAUUGAUGGGGUCAGCGCAAGCGAAGCUCUUGAUCGAAGCCCCGGUAAACGGCGGCCGUAACUAUAACGGUCCUAAGGUAGCGAAAUUCCUUGUCGGGUAAGUUCCGACCUGCACGAAUGGCGUAAUGAUGGCCAGGCUGUCUCCACCCGAGACUCAGUGAAAUUGAACUCGCUGUGAAGAUGCAGUGUACCCGCGGCAAGACGGAAAGACCCCGUGAACCUUUACUAUAGCUUGACACUGAACAUUGAGCCUUGAUGUGUAGGAUAGGUGGGAGGCUUUGAAGUGUGGACGCCAGUCUGCAUGGAGCCGGCCUUGAAAUACCACCCUUUAAUGUUUGAUGUUCUAACGUUGACCCGU
rnacentral:rRNA from 1 species